GACGAACGCUGGCGGCGUGCUUAACACAUGCAAGUCGAACGAUGAAGCCGGAGCUUGCUCUGGUGAAUUAGUGGCGAACGGGUGAGUAACACGUGAGUAACCUGCCCUUGACUCUGGGAUAACUGCGGGAAACUGUAGCUAAUACCGGAUACGACCCUCGGAGGCAUCUCCUGGGGGUGGAAAGAAUUUCGGUCAAGGAUGGACUCGCGGCCUAUCAGCUAGUUGGUGAGGUAAAGGCUCACAAAGGCGACGACGGGUAGCCGGCCUGAGAGGGUGACCGGCCACACUGGGACUGAGACACGGCCCAGACUCCUACGGAAGGCAGCAGUGGGGAAUAUUGCACAAUGGGCGCAAGCCUGAUGCAGCAACGCCGCGUGAGGGAUGACGGCCUUCGGGUUGUAAACCUCUUUUAGCAGGGAAGAAGCGAAAGUGACGGUACCUGCAGAAAAAGCACCGGCUAACUACGUGCCAGCAGCCGCAGUAA
rnacentral:rRNA from 1 species